GACAGAGGAUGCAAGCGUUAUCCGGAAUGAUUGGGCGUAAAGCGUCUGUAGGUGGCUUUUUAAGUUCGCCGUCAAAUCCCAGGGCUCAACCCUGGACAGGUGGUGGAAACUACCAAGCUAGAGUACGGUAGGGGCAGAGGGAAUUUCCGGUGGAGCGAUGAAAUGCGUAGGGAUCGGAAGGAACACCCAAGGCGAAAGCACUCUGCUGGGCCGACACUGACACUGAGAGACGAAAGCUAGGGGAGCAAAUGGG
rnacentral:rRNA from 1 species